CACGGGGGUUGCGAGCGUUGUACGGAAUUACUAGGCGUAAAGGGCAGGCAGGCGGAUCCAUAAGUUUAUCGUUUAAGGCGUCGGCUUAACCGGCGUAGGGCGGUAGAUACUGUGGAUCUGGAAUGCGGUUGGGGAAGACAGAAUUCCUGGUGUAGCGGUGGAAUGCGCAGAGAUCAGGAGGAAUACCGAAGGCGAAGGCAGUCUUCCAAGCCGUUAUUGACGCUCAACUGCGAAGGUGUGGGUAUCAAACAGGAUUAGAUACCCCCGUAGUCCCUGAGCGGG
rnacentral:rRNA from 1 species